CUUUAGACUUACAAUAAUAUUUUUGUUAUUGAACCUUUGUUGUUGACUUUUGUUGUAUGCGAAUUUGGGUUGUUUAUGAUGUUGCUAGGUUGACAACAAUUUGUAUUUUUCCUUUGUUAAACUUUUCUUUCUUUUGUAGGUUCUGUUUUGGAUUUGCUUUACCAUCAGUGGCCACUGGGUUCCCUGCACUGUGUGGAUGGCGGUGGAGAAAAGGUGGUUGGGAUUGUGUGGUGAUUUGGUCACUGUUGAUUUUUGUGUUUUUUAGGUUGCAGUGUGAUUGCUGUGAGCUGAGUGUGGUGAAAACACUGCUGCUUGGGUACCUCAUCUGUCCUCACUUUCUGGGUAACCGGUGGCCAUUAGUGGUUUGUUUUUUUCUUUUCUUUUAUUUAGUUUAUUUACUUUUUUUCCUCCUUAUUUGCAAUAAAGAUGGAGACAAUUUGUAUAUUACAACUUGUGGAAUAAAAUAUAAUUGUCCUCCUAA